rnacentral:rRNA from 1 species
GACGAACGCUGGCGGCGUGCUUAACACAUGCAAGUCGAACGGAAAGGCCCUGCUUUUGUGGGGUGCUCGAGUGGCGAACGGGUGAGUAACACGUGAGUAACCUGCCCUUGACUUUGGGAUAACUUCAGGAAACUGGGGCUAAUACCGGAUAGGAGCUCCUGCUGCAUGGUGGGGGUUGGAAAGUUUCGGCGGUUGGGGAUGGACUGGCGGCUUAUCAGCUUGUUGGUGGGGUAGUGGCUUACCAAGGCUUUGAAGGGUAGCCGGCCUGAGAGGGUGACCGGCCACAUUGGGACUGAGAUACGGCCCAGACUCCUACGGGAGGCAGCAGUGGGGAAUAUUGCACAAUGGGCGGAAGCCUGAUGCAGCAACGCCGCGUGCGGGAUGACGGCCUUCGGGUUGUAAACCGCUUUCGCCUGUGACGAAGCGUGAGUGACGGUAAUGGGUAAAGAAGCACCGGCUAACUACGUG